UGAAGCCAAAGUCAGGGGCAGUGCCUGCCCUUCCCACAUAGCUGGCUGGGGCCAACCUGGGCUCAUUUUUAUCUCAGGAUGUGUAGGCUGCAGGACAGAGAGUCCUACACAUGGCAGCUCCCCUGGAACGGAACUUCCCACGUGUUCUUAUCCUGUUUUCUGUGUCAACUCUGGGUUUACAGUGUCAGGCUUUGUCGGCAUGUGUUUGGUUUCCUAGCAGUGGCUCUGAAACCCUGUGACAACCCGAAGUCUGAGAUGGGUGCUCGUGCAAGAGAUCUCUGUACCGAGAUGAAUACUUCUUCAGGCUCUCCGUCAAAUCACCCCUGUUUUUGCUGGCUCUUUCGGAGAGCGGCUCUCACACAUUUCUACAAAGUCUUGAAAUACUUGUACAUUUCUAACUCUGUAACAAAGCGUCUAUGGAUCUCUUCCCGGAACCACACCAGGAAGGCACAAUGGAAGCAGGAACAAAGGACUCCAGCCUUAUCUCUAUUAGUCUAGUCCUGAGCAGCUUCCCUCCCACCAGACAUUGUUAAUAGGGAUUUGUGAAGGAAUUUAGGUUCUGAAAGAGGACGGGCUAAAGAAGGAGAAAUGCAAAUGCAAAGUGUACCUGCCAGGGAAGGGCCACAACAGGAAGAACGGUGGAAUAAUCAAAUCUUUUCAUCAACCGCCGGUACAGUCUAGAGGUUUGAAGUUGGAGAUGAGGCACACAGGGCUGCAGUCCAGGGCUGAAUCGUUCUCCUCAUGGAGGCCCCGAGGACUGUCCUGUUUUGCCCUUUUCCAGCUCAGUAUCCCUCUGCUUUCCAUGUCUCUUGGAUAUUUUCCUCCAUCUUUGAAUACAAAGAUCUUUGUGUCCAAAAGAGAAGGAUCAAGACUGGUUAAGAACAAACAAUCAAACUUCAAGACUGAAUAAAGAAGCCAACCACACCAACAGCCAGCAUUGCAGAA